GCUAAAACAGUCAGGAGGUUGGCUUAGAAGCAGCCACCCUUUAAAGAAAGCGUAAUAGCUCACUGAUCGAGUCGUCCUGCGCGGAAGAUGUAACGGGGCUAAGCUAUAUACCGAAGCUGCGGAUGCGUGCUUGCACGCAUGGUAGGAGAGCGUUCCGUAAGCCUGCGAAGGUGCCUUGUAAAGGGUGCUGGAGGUAUCGGAAGUGCGAAUGCUGACAUGAGUAGCGAUAAAGGGGGUGAAAGGCCCCCUCGCCGUAAGCCCAAGGUUUCCUACGCAACGUUCAUCGGCGUAGGGUGAGUCGGCCCCUAAGGCGAGGCAGAAAUGCGUAGCUGAUGGGAAGCAGGUCAAUAUUCCUGCACCAUUGUUAGAUGCGAUGGGGGGACGGAUCGCGGAAGGUUGUCCGGGUGUUGGAAGUCCCGGUCGCUGCAUUGGAGAAGGCGCUUAGGCAAAUCCGGGCGCGUAAUUCAAGGGUGUGGCGCGAGCUCCUUCGGGAGCGAAGCAAUUGGAAGUGGUUCCAAGAAAAGCCUCUAAGCUUCAGUCUAACGAUGACCGUACCGCAAACCGACACAGGUGGGCGAGAUGAGUAUUCUAAGGCGCUUGAGAGAACUCGGGAGAAGGAACUCGGCAAAUUGGUACCGUAACUUCGGGAUAAGGUACGCCCUUGUAGCUUGACCAGCCUGCGCUGGAAGGGUGAAGGGGUUGCAAUAAACUGGUGGCUGCGACUGUUUAAUAAAAACACAGCACUCUGCAAACACGAAAGUGGACGUAUAGGGUGUGACGCCUGCCCGGUGCCGGAAGAUUAAAUGAUGGGGUG
rnacentral:rRNA from 1 species